GUUCAGCAUUCUGCAGACAAAACACUUGAAAUUUCCUCUGCUUCCAGGGGUUACUGGGAUUCCCUUGGUGCGCAACUUGCUUACCUUAGGGACUGAACAAAGAGUGCUGAACACCAGAGGAAGGAGGCACUGAAAGAUCUUUUCCACAGGAGCAACAGUCUUCAGUGCAGUAGAUGCUAUGGAGGAGUAAUAGCAUCUGUUCCUCCAAGUCAGUGUGAGACUGAAACUAUUAAAAAGCCACCACCACUGAAUUGGAAAAGAUUCUGCAUGACAGUUACAAGCUUUUCCUUACAAGGAAAUAUACUCUUCACUCAAUGGAUCUAGAAGAUAGACUGAUUAUAUUAAGCAAUUUAUAAAGCCACAAUCAUAUUUAUUGGGAA
rnacentral:lncRNA from 1 species